UUUCUUUAUAAGUUGUGAAUGUGAUUGUUUGAAUCUCAGUUCUCUGUUGAUUCUGAACUUUGCUCUUUGUCACCAUAGAAACUUUCUAGGGUUAGGAGUUUGUUUUGGUGAUUGCUCAUAUUCCAAGACUUUUUUUUUGCCUAUGUAUUCAGAAUUCUGAAAGUUGAUGAUUCUGUCUCCUCUCCUUCUGACUUGCAGGACUGGGUACUGUGAGCUAAAUUGCCCUGAGGCUAGAUUUUCACUGCAACAGUGUAGGCUUGAACGGCCUCAGCACUAUGGACUUCUGGGUCUCACUGCAGCCUGGUGCCAGGGCCUGGGACUUCAAGAGCUGUAUCUGAGAGAGUGGAGAAGAAAAAGAAAAUCCAUUGAGGAGGAGGAGAAAGAGGAAGAAGAAGAAAAAGAAACAAAAGAAGUAUAUAAGAGGAAAAAGGAGAGUAGGAAGAAAGAGAAGAAACACUUCAUCUUGCAAUCUGAGUCUAUCAUAUCUCUAUAUGGAGUUAGUCCUUUGGAAUUGUGGUGGGUAAGUGUUAAAAGUUGUUAUGUCUCUCAAAAUUGAUUAUUUUUCUUACAUAUUAUAUUGUU
rnacentral:lncRNA from 1 species